rnacentral:rRNA from 1 species
CAGUCGCCACGGUAAUACGAAGGGUGCAAGCGUUAAUCGGAAUUACUGGGCGUAAAGCGUGCGUAGGCGGUGAGUUAAGUCUGCUGUGAAAUCCCCGGGCUCAACCUGGGAAUGGCAGUGGAUACUGGCUCGCUAGAGUGUGUCAGAGGAUGGUGGAAUUCCCGGUGUAGCGGUGAAAUGCGUAGAGAUCGGGAGGAACACCGAUGGCGAAGGCAGCCCCCUGGGCCAACACUGACGCUCAUGCACGAAAGCGUGGGGAGCAAACAGGAUUAGAUACCCCAGUAGUCCCUGUCUCUUAUAC